rnacentral:tRNA from 1 species
UGGGCAGAAGCUAGUUUGGCCGAGCGUCUAGCUGUUAACUAGAAGGUCAUGGGAUCGAAGCCCAUCUGUCCAG